UCAGGGGCUUGUCACAACCAUGUAAAGCUGACAAUGGUGGGAGAAACAAUGGUUUCCAGGAGGAAUUCUAGGCAGUUGUGUAAACAUUCCACCCUGAAGGAGGUAGAGCAGAAACCCUGUGGUGCUCCAGGCACUGCUGUCCAGAGCACAGCAUGGAGGAGAAACGUCCUAUCAGAAUCAUCAUGUAUCAGUAGGCAUUCUGCAGAGAAGUUGCUUCAAUCACUUUCUCUUGGUUUGUCAAAAUGACAGUGACAGCCCAUGGAAGGGGUCCCACUCAAGACUUGGAAAAAGGCUGCCUGAGGAGCUGGCCACCGUCUCUCUUCCAGGUGCUGGGCAGUGGGAGGCUUACAGACUUCCCUUGGGUCCUUCUGGAGAAGGCUUCUUGAAGCAAGCAGUUGGUGCUGGGUCUGGCUCUCCUUUCUCCUCUCAUGUGUAACAAGUGAACCCCAGCAAGUCAGAUAUGUCCUGUUUCUAUCCAAUUCUGUGCCUAUGUGUACCAAAAAAAUAAAAUAAAAUAAAAUAAAAGAAUGUUUCUAAGGAAGAAA